rnacentral:snoRNA from 1 species
ACGACUGUACUUUACAGGAUCAUGUAUAUAGUACAUUUCUGGUCUUUGUUCAUCAACUUAGACACAGUUCAAAAAUCUGGUAGAUGAUUUUAAGUGCGAUCUCUUUAAAGGGACGAGUUGAUCUAGAAAUACUUUUGUAUAUCUAGCUCAAGUGGAUGAUCUUGCCGGCCUCAUUCCAGGGCUUGGCGAGGAGAUGUGCACAGUCUGACAGAU